rnacentral:rRNA from 1 species
GACGAACGCUGGCGGCGUGCUUAACACAUGCAAGUCGAGCGGUAAGGCUCUUUCGGGGGUACACGAGCGGCGAACGGGUGAGUAACACGUGGGCGACCUGCCCUCAGCUCUGGGAUAAGCCUGGGAAACUGGGUCUAAUACCGGAUAUGACCACAUGUCGCAUGGUGUGUGGUGGAAAGUUUUUCGGCUGGGGAUGGGCCCGCGGCCUAUCAGCUUGUUGGUGGGGUGAUGGCCUACCAAGGCGA